rnacentral:rRNA from 1 species
CCUACGGGUGGCAGCAGUCGAGAAUCAUUCACAAUGGGGGAAACCCUGAUGGUGCGACGCCGCGUGGGGGAAUGAAGGUCUUCGGAUUGUAAACCCCUGUCAUGUGGGAGCAAAUUAAAAAGAUAGUACCACAAGAGGAAGAGACGGCUAACUCUGUGCCAGCAGCCGCGGUAAUACAGAGGUCUCAAGCGUUGUUCGGAAUCACUGGGCGUAAAGCGUGCGUAGGCUGUUUCGUAAGUCGUGUGUGAAAGGCGCGGGCUCAACCCGGGGACGGGACAUGGUACUGCGAGACCUGAGGAAUGGAGGGGGAACCGGAAUUCUCGGUGUAGCAGUGAAAUGCGUAGAUAUCGGGAGGAACACUCGUGGCGAAGGCGGGUUCCUGGACAUUAACUGACGCUGAGGCACGAAGGCCAGGGGAGCGAAAGGGAUUAGAUACCCGUGUAGUC